rnacentral:rRNA from 1 species
UACGUAGGCAGCAAGCGUUGUUCGGAAUUACUGGGCGUAAAGAGUGUGUAGGCGGUGCUCUAAGUUCGGUGUGAAAUCUCCCGGCUUAACUGGGAGGGUGCGCCGGAAACUGGAGUGCUCGAGCGUGGGAGAGGAAAGCGGAAUUCCUGGUGUAGCGGUGAAAUGCGUAGAUAUCAGGAGGAACACCUGCGGUGUAGACGGCUUUCUGGACCGUAACUGACGCUGAGACACGAAAGCGUGGGUAGCAAACAGG